GACGAACGCUGGCGGCGUGCUUAACACAUGCAAGUCGAACGGUGAAGCGCCUUCCUUUUUGGUGGGUGUGGAUGAGUGGCGAACGGGUGAGUAACACGUGAGUAACCUGCCCCCUUCUUCUGGAUAACCGCAUGAAAGUGUGGCUAAUACGGGAUAUUCUGGGUCUGUCGCAUGAUGGGUCUGGGAAAGAUAUUGUUUCGGUGGGGGAUGGGCUCGCGGCCUAUCAGCUUGUUGGUGGGGUGAUGGCCUACCAAGGCGGUGACGGGUAGCCGGCCUGAGAGGGUGGACGGUCACACUGGGACUGAGGCACGGCCCAGACUCCUACGGGAGGCAGCAGUGGGGAAUAUUGCACAAUGGGCGAAAGCCUGAUGCAGCGACGCCGCGUGAGGGAUGGAGGCGUGCGGGUUGUGAACCUCUUUCGCCAGUGAAGCAGGCCUGCCUCGUUUGUGGGUGGGUUGACGGUAGCUGGAUAAGAAGCGCCGGCUAACUACGUG
rnacentral:rRNA from 1 species